rnacentral:rRNA from 1 species
UACGUAGGGUGCAAGCGUUGUCCGGAAUUAUUGGGCGUAAAGAGCUCGUAGGCGGUUUGUCGCGUCGAAUGUGAAAACCCGGGGCUCAACUCCGGGCCUGCAUUCGAUACGGGCAGACUAGAGUUCGGUAGGGGAGACUGGAAUUCCUGGUGUAGCGGUGGAAUGCGCAGAUAUCAGGAGGAACACCGGUGGCGAAGGCGGGUCUCUGGGCAGUAACUGACGCUGAGGAGCGAAAGCGUGGGGAGCGAACAGG